AUUGAACGCUGGCGGCAGGCCUAACACAUGCAAGUCGAGCGAGAGGCGGACGGGUGAGUAAUGUCUGGGAAACUGCCUGCUGGAGGGGGAUAACUACUGGAAACGGUAGCUAAUACCGCAUACCAUCUGAUGUGCCCCGAUGGGAUUAGCUAGUUGGUGGGGUAACGGCUCACCUAGGCGACGAUCCCUAGCUGGUAUGAGAGGAUGACCAGCCACACGGGAACUGAGACACGGCCCAGACUCCUACGGGAGGCAGCAGUGGGGAAGAUUGCACAAUGGGGGCAAGCCUGAUGCAGCCAUGCCGCUUGUGGGAAGAAGGCCUUCGGGUUGUAAAGCACUUUCAGCGGGGAGGCGGUACCCGCAGAAGAAGCACCGGCUAACUCCGUGCCAGCAGCCGCGGUAAUAC
rnacentral:rRNA from 1 species